AGGCGCGGCCCGCGAGACCCCGCCCCCGCAGCGCGCCUUGGCGCGCCCAUGGCGGCGGCUGCUGAGGGCCUUGUCGGGGGAGUGCGGGGGAAAAAUGAGAUUUCCCGUUUAAUUGCGCGUUUGGCCACGAUUAGUAAAAGACAGUUUAAUCACCCUAGGGAACAAACCUCUGAACACACCUUCUGUCUAAACAGGAAGGGAUUGUAAUAGAAGGGGUUGUAAAGUGUUCUGGUUUAAAUUGACUGGGACGCUAUCCCAAUGAAAUUGAUCUUGCCUGCAGUUGUAGUUCAAGUUUAACUUAAAAACUACAUUGUCUGGAGAAAGUGAGGCUGAUCACUUCAUGUGUGGGCUAUCACUAUUAGGGAUCAAGCUGCAUUAUUUCCUAGUGGUAUGGGGCUGUGCGUCUCGGCACUGAAAGGUUUAAGGUUUCCGGAAGUUUGUAAGACUUUCUAUUCCCCAACUGAGAAGAGAUUGAAGUAUUUUUGAAGUUAUCUGGGUUGAAAAAUCCUGCAAAUUUGUGACAGUUCCCUGAGCAAGCAGCCAUUCUGGUAGUGCCGACGCUUCUCUCCCCGACGCCCUUCCUCAGCCCCGGCUAGCUCUUCUGGGGAGAGGUGCGGGCAGGUUUCUAGCGCUUCCCGCUGGACCCUCGCGGGCUUUGGGAAGCACUAUCGGAGUUCCAAAGAGCAGCCAGCGACCCCACGGCGAAUUACGAAGAGAGUCUUUCUCUGGGGGCGAAUUCCGUUUAUUGUAAUCCAACGGGGAAUACAAUAACUCGAAGGGGACCAGGCGUGCCGCGCUGGCAUUUCCCAGAAAGGCAUGGGCAGGACGGAACACGCUGGAGCCAGCCAGAAGAAAGCGCGAAACGAAUUAAAUUCGGAACGGGGGAAAACUGAACAGCCAAUGGGGUAAAACCGCGGGGUGGUUCGAGGGUGGUGGGAUACGGGGGUACAUCCAAUGAAGGACAGACAGGGGAAGGGUCCCAGGUCCUCUACCAAUCACCCGGCGUCCCGGAUGGAAGAUUCUAGGUGGAUGGGAAGGGACACCGAGUGACGGACAGGCAUCUGGGGUAAACAGGGGGAUGAUUUAGCACUUUGGGGAUAACGGACACUCGGGGGAAAGGCGGGAAAACCCGGGGAGAAACCAUUACAGAACCGGGGGUACAUGGAACAAACCUAUACAUAAUACAAAUGUAAUAAAACAUAAAAAACACAACUUUACAUGGUAGCUUCUAGGUAGCAUAAGUUGAGAGAAGUUUAAGUGGAGCUUCCAGAUAGUUUGUUUUAUAUUUUGGAAAAUAAAACUGAUACUAUUAUUCUACAUAUAGGAACUUUCCAUAAAAUUUUGUUAUCCCUAGACCAUCAUAUCCAAAGAUGGUUAGCAGAGAUGUAGAAGCUAUUUCUCCUAUGAAUAUUCUUACCUUUCUCCUUGCAUCUCUCAGUGGAAGAUCCAAAAUAAAAAUGAACUCUAAAAUUCACAAAAA